rnacentral:lncRNA from 1 species
UUUUAUUCGCGAGGGUCGGGGGUGGGGGUCCUAGGUGGGGACAGACAAUAAAUACCGAGGAAUGUCGGGGUCUCAGUGCAUCCAAAACGUGGAUUGGGGUUGUUGGGGGUCCUGUAGCCUGUCAGCGAGUCGGAGGACGAGGUCAAUAAAUAUCCAAACCGCCGAAGCGGGCGGAGCCGGCUGGGGCUCCGAGAGCAGCGCAAGUGAGGAGGGGGGCGCGGGAUCCCCGAAAAAGCGGGUUUGGCAAAAGCAAAUUUCCCGAGUAAGCAGGCAGAGAUCGCGCCAGACGCUCCCCAGAGCAGGGCGUCAUGCACAAGAAAGCUUUGCACUUUGCGAACCAACGAUAGGUGGGGGUGCGUGGAGGAUGGAACACGGACGGCCCGGCUUGCUGCCUUCCCAGGCCUGCAGUUUGCCCAUCCACGUCAGGGCCUCAGCCUGGCCGAAAGAAAGAAAUGGUCUGUGAUCCCCCCAGCAGCAGCAGCAGCAGCAGCAGCAGCAGCAGCAGCAGCAGCAGCAGCAGCAGCAGCAGCAUUCCCGGCUACAAGGACCCUUCGAGCCCCGUUCGCCGGCCGCGGACCCGGCCCCUCCCUCCCCGGCCGCUAGGGGGCGGGCCCGGAUCACAGGACUGGAGCUGGGCGGAGACCCACGCUCGGAGCGGUUGUGAACUGGCAGGCGGUGGGCGCGGCUUCUGUGCCGUGCCCCGGGCACUCAGUCUUCCAACGGGGCCCCGGAGUCGAAGACAGUUCUAGGGUUCAGGGAGCGCGGGCGGCUCCUGGGCGGCGCCAGACUGCGCAACUCCAUCCGCUCCUGCAACUGCCGGACGUGUGCCUCUAGGUCCCGGUUCCGAGCCUCUGCCUCGCGUAGUUGACUGUGGGGAGGUAAGGACGGUGAGUCCGUCCGGGCCGGACGAGAGGGGAUGCCAAGGGUUGCCACCGGCCCGCAUCCCGGCCCCGGCCCCGGCCCCGAUCCCGACCUGGCGAAGUUCUGGUUGUCCGUGCGGAUGGCCUCCAUCUCCCGGCUCAGGCUCUGCCGGGUGAGCACCUCCUCCUCCAGGGCUUCCUGGAGCUCCCGCAGCGUCACCUCGGCCUCAGCCUCUGCCGCAGGGACAGCCGCUGGAACUGCCACUUCAGCCUGUGUAUGGGGACCAGGCUUAAGGCUGCCUGUGGCUCCUGGAAGACUCAGGACUUGGGCACUGGUUCCAGGCUAGGAAUCCUUGUUUAUCCCCUACUCCUCCGUCCCCUCAACAUUUCUGGAAUCCCCAUAGCUCCUGC